UUUUUUUUUUUAAUCUUACAGGGAAAAAAAAUCUUGAGUUUUGUUUCUAUUUGAGACAAGGAAUGCUUUAUAGCUUCACACAUUUUUUUUUCUAGCAAUACUGUCCACCCCAUCUUAUGAUUUUAUAAUAAUGCAAUGUCAGAGCAGGUAUCUGGUGUGCAAACGGAGUGGACUGUGUGUGCCAAAGUGAAACUGGGGGCUGUUUUCACUCCUUUGGGGGUGAUGAAACAGAGAACAAGAGGGCAGGUGUGUGAAUGGCAGGAGCUUCAGGAGAGGGUAACGGAAUGGAGAAAGGAAGAGUAAUUGAAAGCUGCAAAAGUGGAGGACCAUAGGACUAGAUUAUGACUUUAAUCAUAGUCCUAAACAAGGUGUGGGGCAUAAACUGUUCCACCCCAGAAGUUGCACUGGGGCUCAGAAACACCUUACUGAAUCACAAUUCCUUCCUUGCUUCCUUUUUGCUCCAGUAGUUUUCUGCUGCUCUAUAAUAGCAACCCCUCCCAUAUUGCCAGGGCUCAGCUAUACUGGUCAACUAAUAGAAGAGCCAAAGGUUUGCUUAUUCCCUUCUCCUCCCACCCAAUCUCCACUCACCUGCUCUGAGGGGCAUGGAAGGAUGGAGUAAGCAGGCAUGCAGCCUUCUUUUUGUACUGCACUCCCAAAACAAAGGUCCCCAUAGCCCAUGUAAGGGGACCUCUUA